ensembl:lncRNA
UUUUAUUUAUAUUAUUUAUUUAUUAUUGUUUGUUUGUUUUUAAGGAUUCAGCAAAGAGGUUGAAAUCUCGAAAUAGAACAUUUAACCUGGAUUAUAGAACCUUAUAUAGAACCUGGUUAAGGACCUUCCAGCAAAGCAGGGCUUGACUAGCAGGUCCCAUGGUGAUGACCAGGCUAUGCUCCUAUCAGCACUGUGUGUCUGGGCUCGAGGAGUCCCCCUGGCAGGAUGGCAGCUGUGAAGAAGAUGAAGCUACAGGAAUUUUCCUGGCAGGCUGCUGACAGCCUGUCUAUCUUUGUGGGUACAGCUCAGCCCUGGUCUGUCUUCCUUUUUCUGGUUUUGUGUUGGAGGCAGCAUCUGUGUCUUUAACAGACACGCUCAGGAGAAGUCUGUUCUGUCACAGUUCAUUUUCCAGACCAAAAUGAAAAUACUGAGGCUGAUUCUUGUAUGUAUGGGCUCUGUCAUUUCUGCUAGCAGUCUUGAUUUCCCAAAUUGUGAAGGGCAAGAGGGAACCCCCUAGUUAAACAUUAGAAAUGCCUUGCCCUGGAAAUCUUCCAUUUUUAUUGUCUUGCCACAUUUUGUGCAAAUCACCCAUUUCAGUUAACCACUUUUAACUUUUUGUCAGUCAAUUUCUUUUUUAAAAACAAGACUUUUAAUACCCUGAAAAGUAAAAAGCAGAUUAAAAUCCUUUUGUCAUGACCACUCAUGGUUUGAUGAGUACAGUGUUCUGUAUUUGAUGAAGCAAACUGUCUCGAGCUGGGACAGAAGCUGAUCUGGAUUGGUAAGAACCCUAGAAAUGAGAUUAGCUAGGUGAAUGUGCUCACCUGGUAAGACAUAGAAGUGGCUAUGACAUGGCAGGGUUUGGACUUAGGAAUUACUUCCAGCAAAGGUCACACUGUGUCAACAGUCAAAAUGUCAUUCAGUUGUCUUAUAGAAUAUGGUAAAGUAUAUGUCUGUGAUUAUAACUCUAUUAAUAUUUUAUUUCAAGCACUAUUUUAUUUUGACAGUUUUGAGAAAAUUCCUGUGAUUUGACUCUUUAUUUUAUGAGCUGAUCAUAUCUAAAUCUUGAAAUUACAUUCAAAUGAGUCAUUUUAUCAGGGUGAAAGAACACACUUGGCACACACAGGAUGCAUACAGGAAAAAAAAUGCAGUUCCUAAAAUGUCAUGUGAGGGUUUUCUCAGUCACUUCAGAGACAGAAUUGAUGGUACUUGCUCCAACACACUGAAAUCACUGCUUCGCUCAGGUAGGUAUCAUAAACUGGAGAAUUUUGCUUUCCUCAUCUACUUGCUAUUUAUUAUUCUUUACUCCUGAAAACCCCUCUCCUUCCUCCAGUUGUGCCUUUCAUUUUCAAACCACAUUGCGGCCCUUUUAGCACUCUGGAAAAUAUAGUGUGGGCAGUAUCUUCUAAUUGAUUCAUCAGUUUACUUUGGAGCAGGACUUGCAUUACUAUUUUACAGCAUUCCUUGUUUCCCUGUCCUCUUCAUACCAUUUUCUGUAGCUAUAUGGGGAGGCAGCAGGGUUCAACUCUUGCAGCACUGUUCGCCAGUUGUCCUUCUGAAAAUUGUUUCUAUAUAGAUCAGCAAGACCACAGGAAAUGGAACAAACUUGGGGGAGAAUUUUAAAUUAAGCCUCCAGCUUUAAAUUAAGCCUUCCAAUAACGUCUUUCAUAGCUUUCCUUGCAGGUCACCCUCACUCACAAGUCUCUUGGCAGAUAUUACCCAAACCUGAUAAAUGACGAUGUUUGUUACAAUUGUUAAUCUCAUUUUCUUCUUAGUGAAGCAGUGAUGCACACUUAUGCAUCACUCCACUUUUGGACUGCAUGUUAUGCAAGAGUGAGAUUAUUUGGAUUUUUUAAAAAUUAUAUUUAUAUUUAGUCCUGCAUACAACAAUCUCUGGCUGGUAUUUAAGUACUGGCAUAACAGAGGUUAAAAAAGGGUCAGUUGUCUUAUUUAUGUCAUCUCAGUUGCUUCUGCAGGCUGUAUUCACCUCUUCCCUAUUCAGUUUCCUUGCAUUUUGGCAACAUUUUUUGGGACCUUUCAGUCCCUUUCAACUGCUGUCAUUGAUUCAGCAAGGAUUUAGUUAACAGGAAUUUUUUAGACAAUUCUAUUAAUGCCUAAAGAAUGAAGAUCAGGGUUUUUUUUUCCUCAAUUCUGUCUUAGCUUUGCUGGUUUUCUUCUCCUUUCUAAAUUUACUAAGUCCAAGAAUAAUUGAGCAAUUAACAUUCUUCCUCUGCUAUGGUCAUAGUUUUAAAAUGUCACUUAAGUAUGCUGUAGGUCAGCUUCAUUGUCUUGCAGUAAGACACCUCCUAUCUAAAAUGGCUGAAGAACAUUACUCUGUAUUUUCAUGUUUAUUUCUACAAGUAAAUAUCUGUCUGUUCUUCUUAAACAUUAAUUUCUUAUCUUUCAUAGAAUCUUAAAAUGUUAAGAUUGUCUUUCUCCUGGUCAAGAUAAGCUUUCCAAGGAACUACCAGAGAGCUCAGAACACAUGUAUAAGAAAAGGAAGUGGUCACUGUCACUUCCCUAAAAUAUCACUUAGCCAACACAAGUUAUGUCCUGUCUAUUCUAUUUGUAAUAUUCAGAAAGUGAAGCAGGGUGAUUACAGAAAGACAGGCAUUGCUUUCUUAACUUAAAUGUACUUCACCAGUUAUGCCAGAAGAAAUUGCUCAUUUUAAAGGAAAGAGGAACUAAAAAUGCUGGUUUGCCUUUCUGAAGCAGGAAGUCAACCAGAAAACACACCUGGGCACAUCAUGGCCAUGUGAAUAGAGAGCUUCACUUUAGGGACUAAGAAGAACCAGAUGGAAAUCAAAGGGAUGACAGAGAUAGGAGAACAUAACUGUAUGAAGCCCACUGUUUGAAUAGCAAGCUUACAUACAGGUUUAGCCACUAUGAAAAUGAUGAAGAUGUACAACAGGUACACUAGUAACAAUUUUGUGUAGGCAAUGCCUUUGUAACGUGACAGCUCUGUACUGUCACCUGACUCAGGGAUGCUUCAGCAAAGGUUAAGAGAAGAAUUUGGGGAGGAGGAUCACAGAAUUACUAGGUUGGAAGAGACCUUAAAGAUCAUUGAGUCCAACCCAUGCCCUAACACCUCAACUAAACCAUGGCACCGAGUGCUACAUCCAGUCUUUUUUUAAACACAUCCAUGGAUGGUGAGUCCACCACCUCCCUGGGCAGACCAUUCUAGUACUUUGUUACUCUUUCUGUAAAAAAACUAUUCCUAAUAUCCAGCCUAUAUUUCCCUUGGUGCAGCUUAAGCCUGUGUCCUUUUGUUCUGUCAGUUGCUGCCUGGAGAAAGAGAGCGACCCCCACCUGACUACAACCACCUUUCAGGAAGUUGUAGAGAAUGAUAAGGUCACCCCUGAGUCUCCUUUUCUCCAGGCUAAACAGCCCCAGCUCCCCCAGUUGUUCCUUGUAGGACUUGUGUUCCAGGCCCCUCACCAGACUCGUUGCCCUCCUCUGGACAGGUUCAAGAGUCUCAACGUCCUUCCCAAACUGAGGGGCCAGAACUGGACACAGCACUUAAGGUGUGACCUCACUAGUGCCAAGUACAAGGGAAGAAUGACCUUCCUUUUUAUUCCUAAGUUCCUUUAAAACCUUGUUGCCCAUCCAGGCUGGACAUUUGCCUUGUUGACUCGUCUUUUGCCACACAGGGACAAAAAGAUACCUGUUCUUGUGCCCUCAAGAUCUCUGUUUUGCAGUACUUUCCUGGACUCCUUUGUUUUUAAGGGCUGCUUCUCAAGGAACUCUCUUAAUAAGUCUUCUAAAUAGACCAAAGUCUGCCCUCCAGAAGUCCAAUGUAAGAGUCUUAUUGAUGUUCCUCCUCAUUUCGCCAAAUAUUGAGAACUCUCUAUUUCAUGAUCACUCUGCCCCAGGUGGCCUCCAACCACCACAUCUCCCACCAGCCCAUCUCUAUUUGCAAGCAGCAGGUCUAACAUAGUCCCUCCCCUGGUGGGCUCACUCACCAGCUGUGACAAAAAGUUUUCCUCCACACACUCUAAGAACUUCCGAGACUGCCUCUUUUCUGCUGUAUUGAGCUUCCAGCAGAUGUCUGGUAGGUUAAAGUCACUUACAAGAACAAGGGCUGGUGAUGCUGAAACAUUCUUCAGCCAUUUAUAGAAUAAGUUGUCCAGUUCUUCCUGGCUGGGAGGAUGAUAACAGACCCCCAGCACAAUUGUUGGCCUUCCCCCUAAUUCUUACCCACAGGCAUUCAACUUUGUGGUCAUUAGUUUCAAUACCCACAGCAUCAAAAUCCUCCCUAAUAUAAAGGGCCAUCCCUCCACCUCUUUUCCUUUUCCUAUCUCUCUGAAGAGCUUGUAGCCAUGCAGUGCAGUGCUCCAGCCAUGUGAGUCAUCCCUCCAUGUUUCUGUGAUAGCAAUUACAUCACAGCUUUGCCGUGGCACCAUGGCCUCCAGCUCUUGUUUGUUACCCACGCUGUGUGCAUCAGUAUACAUGCACCUUAGCUGGGCUACAGAUUUCACCCCUAUUUCAGGCUUACUACCCUUGGGCCUGCUUCCAGACAGCCCAGCUGCAUCCCCUUCCCCCUUCAGACCUAGUUUAAAGCCCUCUCAAUGAGGUCUGCCAGUUCAUGAGCUAAAAUCCUUCUGCCCUUAUCAGAGUCCAUCCCGUUCCAGCAGGCCAGGUGCCAAAAAAGUUGCCCCAUGAUCAAAGAACUCAAAGUUCUGUUGAUGACACCAACCCUUGAACCACUUAUUGAUGAUGUGGGCUCUCCUAUUCCUUUCAUAAUUUUUCUCUGCCACCAAAGGGACCUGUUCUCCUGCCCUAUGAACCACUUGACACUGUGCCCUGAAGCUCCUUUUAAUUUCCCUAACACUCCUCUUUUCAAUCUCACCACUGCCAGCUGGGGGUAUUAUACCACUUCCAGCAGUGGGUAAUAAUGAGAGGGUCAAAUCACAUUGAUCGGUGCCUUCUGGUGAUGAAACCUGUCUGGUGUCAGAACCACCGGACAGUGAAAUUUAUAUCGCUAAUAUGCAGUGGCAUUUGGAUGCUGGCCUUCAUUUUCUGCUGCCC